UCGUAAUUGAAUCUUCCGACUCAUGAAUUACCGAAGAGAUUCACAAAUAUAAAGUAAACAAUAAUAUUGAUCCGAUUGCUAAAGAAAAUGAAUGAUGUUUUAAUGAACACUACUCUUGCUUUCGGCGCUUUAGCAUUUAUAUCAUCGCCAAUGUUGAACGAGGCACAGAAGAGUGGUGGGCCGCAAAAUGCCCUUCAAAACGUGGUAAGUUUCCUGAAAAUGAAGUAGUGGCAGUGGGUAUACAACAACAAUGAAGGGAAAUAACUUUUUAAAAUGAAGUCUAUUGUUACUUUAAUAAUGACCUAAAUGACAUAGCCGGAUAAACUGGUACAAGAAUUGAAAAGCUUACAAAAUC